UACGUAGGGUCCGAGCGUUGUCCGGAAUUAUUGGGCGUAAAGGGCUCGUAGGCGGCCAACUAAGUCCGACGUGAAAUCCCCAGGCUUAACCUGGGAACUGCGUCGGAUACUGGAUGGCUUGAAUCCGGGAGAGGGAUGCGGAAUUCCAGGUGUAGCGGUGAAAUGCGUAGAUAUCAGGAGGAACACCGGUGGCGAAGGCGGGUCUCUGGGCCGAUACUGACGCUGAGGAGCGAAAGCGUGGGGAGCGAACAGG
rnacentral:rRNA from 1 species